rnacentral:tRNA from 1 species
CUCCCUGUGGCUCAGUUGGUAGAGCAUGGUGUUUGCAAUGGUGUUUGCUACGCCAGAGUUGUGGGUUCGAUUCCCACGGGGGGC